AGAGUUUGAUCCUGGCUCAGGACGAACGCUGGCGGCGUGCCUAAUACAUGCAAGUCGAGCGGAUUAACUUGAGAGCUUGCUCUCAAGUUGGUUAGCGGCGGACGGGUGAGUAACACGUAGGUAACCUGCCUGUAAGACUGGGAUAACAUUCGGAAACGAAUGCUAAUACCAGAUACGCGAUUCUCUCGCAUGGGAGAAUCGGGAAAGACGGAGCAAUCUGUCACUUACAGAUGGACCUGCGGCGCAUUAGCUAGUUGGUGGGGUAACGGCUCACCAAGGCGACGAUGCGUAGCCGACCUGAGAGGGUGAUCGGCCACACUGGGACUGAGACACGGCCCAGACUCCUACGGGAGGCAGCAGUAGGGAAUCUUCCGCAAUGGACGAAAGUCUGACGGAGCAACGCCGCGUGAGUGAUGAAGGCUUUCGGGUCGUAAAGCUCUGUUGCCAGGGAAGAACACUUGAGAGAGUAACUGCUCUCAAGGUGACGGUACCUGAGAAGAAAGCCCCGGCUAACUACGUGCCAGCAGCCGCGGUAAUUC
rnacentral:rRNA from 1 species